rnacentral:rRNA from 1 species
UACGAAGGGGGCUAGCGUUGCUCGGAAUCACUGGGCGUAAAGGGUGCGUAGGCGGGUUUUAAGUCAGGGUGAAUCCUGGAGCUCAACUCCAGAACUGCCUUUGAUACUGAAGAUCUUGAGUCCGGGAGAGGUGAGUGGAACUGCGAGUGUAGAGGUGAAAUUCGUGAGAUAGUUACGCAAGAACACCAGUGGCGAAGGCGGCUCACUGGCCCGGUACUGACGCUGAGGCACGAAAGCGUGGGGAGCAACAGG